rnacentral:rRNA from 1 species
GUGAACGCUGGCGGUAGGCCUAACACAUGCAAGUCGAACGGCAGCACAGUAAGAGCUUGCUCUUACGGGUGGCGAGUGGCGGACGGGUGAGGAAUACAUCGGAAUCUACUUUUUCGUGGGGGAUAACGUAGGGAAACUUACGCUAAUACCGCAUACGACCUACGGGUGAAAGCAGGGGAUCUUCGGACCUUGCGCGAUUGAAUGAGCCGAUGUCGGAUUAGCUAGUUGGUGGGGUAAAGGCCCACCAAGGCGACGAUCCGUAGCUGGUCUGAGAGGAUGAUCAGCCACACUGGAACUGAGACACGGUCCAGACUCCUACGGGAGGCAGCAGUGGGGAAUAUUGGACAAUGGGCGCAAGCCUGAUCCAGCCAUACCGCGUGGGUGAAGAAGGCCUUCGGGUUGUAAAGCCCUUUUGUUGGGAAAGAAAAGCAGCAGGUUAAUACCCCGCUGUUCUGACGGUACCCAAAGAAUAAGCACCGGCUAACUUCGUG